UGGGGAAUAUUGGACAAUGGGCGAAAGCCUGAUCCAGCCAUGCCGCGUGUGUGAAGAAGGUCUUCGGAUUGUAAAGCACUUUAAGUUGGGAGGAAGGGCAGUAAGCGAAUACCUUGCUGUUUUGACGUUACCGACAGAAUAAGCACCGGCUAACUCUGUGCCAGCAGCCGCGGUAAUACAGAGGGUGCAAGCGUUAAUCGGAAUUACUGGGCGUAAAGCGCGCGUAGGUGGUUCGUUAAGUUGAAUGUGAAAGCCCCGGGCUCAACCUGGGAACUGCAUCCAAAACUGGCGAGCUAGAGUAGGGCAGAGGGUGGUGGAAUUUCCUGUGUAGCGGUGAAAUGCGUAGAUAGAGGAAGGAACACCAGUGGCGAAGGCGACCACCUGGGCUCAUACUGACACUGAGGUGCGAAAGCGUGGGGAGCAAACAGG
rnacentral:rRNA from 1 species